AGAUUGAACGCUGGCGGCAUGCCUUACACAUGCAAGUCGAACGGCAGCACGGGGGCAACCCUGGUGGCGAGUGGCGAACGGGUGAGUAAUACAUCGGAACGUAUCCUGUAGCGGGGGAUAACCUCUCGAAAGAGAGGCUAAUACCGCAUACGACCUAUGGGUGAAAGAGGGGGAUCGCAAGACCUCUCACUAUUGGAGCGGCCGAUGUCGGAUUAGCUAGUUGGUGGGGUAAAAGCCUACCAAGGCUACGAUCCGUAGCUGGUCUGAGAGGACGACCAGCCACACUGGAACUGAGACACGGUCCAGACUCCUACGGGAGGCAGCAGUGGGGAAUUUGGACAAUGGGCGCAAGCCUGAUCCAGCCAUGCCGCGUGAGUGAAGAAGGCCUUCGGGUUGUAAAGCUCUUUCGGUCGGGAAGAAAGGUUCGUGCUAACACCGCGGACUCAUGACGGUACCGGCAUAAGAAGCGACCGGCUAACGUACGUGCCAGCAGCCGCGGUAAUCUA
rnacentral:rRNA from 1 species